CCUUGCUCAGCAACAGUCCAGACCCUUUUCUCUGGCCCAGGUGACACACUUCAUGUCAUGCUGUGCGGUUGUGGGUAGGACCAAAGUGCAGAGGAAGGAGGCCAGAGCCAGACGCAUGCCGGUAAGUUUGAGGUUCAAUCACUCUCACUCACGGACCAGGCAGUGAGAACAGAACCAGACCAGGACACCAGAAAUCAGACGUAACAUUACAUAUGAUAACAAACUUGCAGGGAACAAAGGCAACCAGGGAACAUGUAUACAAAUGGAACAGCAGAGGGAACCAAUGAAUGACAAGACCAGACAAUCAGGGAAAACUAGAGACGGUUUGUGGGAGAGGCUACAGGAAAACAAAAGAUCAGAGCAGGUUAAAUGACAAAAACUGAAUCAAACACAGACAGAUCCUGACACUAAUUUAGCAAUGAGCUUUUGUGGUUUACCCUCCCUGUGGAGGGUGUCAAUGACUGUCAAGUUGGGAGUCUUUCUUGUCAUUAUACAGGCCAUACCUUUUUCAAAUUUCUGUAUUAAAAAUCAUUUUUAUUGGUCAUAUGUAAUAUUCAAAUUUCCUUCUUGAAAUAUAUGCCUCUGUGUAAGAUAAAAUAUUAUGUUGUCUACUAUUUGUACAAAAGCCCCCCAGUAAUGUAUUUUUGUUGGAAAAAUGUUCCCAUGAGUCUCUGCUUGCUGAUUUUUCUCAGCUGUAUCAGAUGCUGAACAGUAUGCUCGCCAUCGCUGCUAAACCUCAGCAUGUUAGUAUUAACAUUGUGAGCAUGUCACCAUGCCAAAGUUAGCAUUAGGCUCAAAUAUCCGUGCCCUUCUAUAGAUUUACGGUCCUGCUGGAGUUCCACUCUAAGUCUUAGAUGUCGUAUGAUGAAUAUCGAGCAAUGUUAAUGAAAUGAGAGGCAUACAUAAAAUGGCCCCAUAGUUUUGCUCUUAUUAGAUCCUCAAAAUGCUCAGAGCAGAUGAGCAUCAAGGAUUUAUGUAAUGCUGCUUUUUGCUUUCAUGUGGACAGACUUUCAGUGUCCUCCUGUGACUAACCAUCUCUUAUAUUUCUAGAGUUUCCAGGCCGGCAUUAACCUCAAAGUGCUUUUUCUAGAUCCGCCUGAUCUAACCGGAGCCAUCAAUUACAGGAGUCAGCCGAGGCAGAUAUUUGUUUGUAACUCGGCAAACCGAUCUCACAGGGAGCAAACUCCUGCAGCAUUUAGCCGACUAAUGAUGGUUUAAUGGACAAGCUGUGACAAAGAUAAACAGGAGCCUCAUUCUUGACAGGAGACGCUGCUAAUUACAUCAGAGUGAAGGCAGAGAGGAGAGGUCUGUCUGCACGGGUAAAUGACUGUAUGCGUUCCAUAUGGAGCGCUGAAACUCCCCCUGGGCUGCAGCCCUGCUCCUGGAAACCACAGGAAAUUCCCAGAGAGAUGCUCUUCAGCCACAUCUGAUCAUUACAAGCAUGAAACAAAAAGGAAUGGGUGAUCAUCAACAAACAUAAUGAGCUCUGAUUUUGGUUUUGAUCCUCAAAGACAAAGCUCAUCGCAGCAUAAAAACCCAAUGUUACUGCAAACAGACAAAAGAUGCCAACUUCCAUUAUUUGAAAUCCCUUUUUCAUUUUUAUUUGUGAUGAAGCAUCAUACAUUUACAGCAUUGGUGUUUGUUGUAGAUAUUUGGUGUAAUUUGCAUCUAAUCUGUUUGGCCUCUGGAAGGAAAAUAAUUUAAUUUACCAGAACGACUUUAUUAGAGAGAAAUGUUUAUCGCAGAGGGAGUCAAAAUCAUUUCUCUUUUAUUUCUGAGUGAAUUUCAUCUCAACACUUUGGUUACAUCCAUUAAUCAACUAAAAACAUGGUCACUGCACUUCUUCUGUGAAUAAAACAGUGCAAACGUCA